CAGUCAGUCAGUCAGUCAGUCAAUCAACAUCGGCUUUCCUCAGACAGUUGGAAGUUAAAGUAGCAGGAGCUAAGGUGAAAUCAGACUAGACAUGUUGCCAAGGCACUGUGAAUAAUAAAUCAGACUGGCCAUCACCACGGUAACCCAGUGUGUUUCCGGGGAAACGUACCAUCGGUGAUGAGGGCCCUGCUGACUGGGCCACAUAUUCGGGCACGGAUCGUCGGAUAUGUACAGGAAUCCGGCAAAGAUCAUCAUAGAACUUGGAUGAACAUCUUUUUGCACACACAGGACUGCAGAUGAGUCUCGUCCCAAACAGCAGAUUCAGAGCAGCCCAUUAACAUUUCAAUACAGAACAAAAAUGAAACAACACACAGGUUUGAAAUGACAUAAAGGUCGAUACUUUCUUCAAGAAAUUAGAUUUAAACCCGUAUCAAGUGGGUCUCGGUUCCCGCAAUGGGGGAAAUGCAAUUCCGGGGUGCGUUUAUUAGGUUUGGAGGUAUGCAAGCUCCCGUUUCAGAGUCCAAAGAAAUGAGUGCGAGUUUGUGUGUAUCUUGUGUGUAUCGUGUGUGUUUGUGUAACGGCAGACACACUGUCGCUGAGAUCUUGUUAAUUGGCUGCACUGGAAGUUGUGAGACAUCUGGGAAUUUAGCUCUGACGGCAUAUAUAAGACCGUCUCGCUUUUUCUUUCUGGUUUCUUCCAUUCCUUCAUUAGUCUCCAAGCGCUUUAUCUCGCCCGCUGUCUUAAAGGAAUAGUUUACCUAAAUAUGACGGGGUGUGAUGACGUCAGAAUAACAUGGUCAAAAAUGGUCCCAAGCUGGCACUACCCUUUAAAAUGUCCUAAUAUGUACUAUUUAGAUACAGAUAUGUAUACAGUCACCUAAAGGAUUAUUAGGAACACCAUACUAAUACUGUGUCUGACCCCCUUUUGCUUUCAGAACUGCCUUAAUUCUACCUGGCAUUGAUUCAACAAGGUGCUGAAAGCAUUCUUUAGAAAUGUUGGCCUAUAUUGAUAGGAUAGCAUCUUGCAGUUGAUGGAGAUUUGUGGGAUGCACAUCCAGGGCACGAAGCUCCCGUUCCACCACAUCCCAAAGAUGCUCUAUUGGGUUGAGAUCUGGUGACUGUGGUGGCCAUUUUAGUACAGUGAACUCAUUGUCAUGUUCAAGAAACCAAUUUGAAAUGAUUUGAGCUUUGUGACAUGGUGCAUUAUCUUGCUGGAAGUAGCCAUCAGAGGAUGAGUACAUGGUGGUCAUAAAGGGAUGGACAUGGUCAGAA